rnacentral:rRNA from 1 species
GAUGAACGCUAGCUACAGGCUUAACACAUGCAAGUCGAGGGACCGGCGCACGGGUGAGUAAAACGUAUCCAACCUGCCCUUGACUCGGGGAUAGCCUUUCGAAAGACAGAUUAAUACCCGAUAUAAAGGAUGGGGAUGCGUUCCAUUAGGUUGUUAGUGAGGUAACGGCCCACCAAGCCUUCGAUGGAUAGGGGUUCUGAGAGGAAGGUCCCCCACCUUGGAACUGAGACACGGUCCAAACUCCUCCGGGAGGCAGCAGUGAGGAAUAUUGGUCAAUGGGCUUUAGCCUGAACCAGCCAAGUAGCGUGUAGGAUGAAGGCUUAUGGGUCGUAAACUUCUUUUAUAUAAGAAUAUGUAUUAUAUGAAUAAGGAUCGGCUAACUCCGUGCCAGCCGCCGCGGUAAUAC